UUUAAAGAGAGUUUGAUCCUGGCUCAGGACGAACGCUGGCGGCGUGCCUAAUACAUGCAAGUCGAACGAACGGAGGAAGAGCUUGCUCUUCCAAAGUUAGUGGCGGACGGGUGAGUAACACGUGGGCAACCUGCCUGUAAGUUGGGGAUAACUCCGGGAAACCGGGGCUAAUACCGAAUGAUAAAGUGUGGCGCAUGCCACGCUUUUGAAAGAUGGUUUCGGCUAUCGCUUACAGAUGGGCCCGCGGUGCAUUAGCUAGUUGGUAGGGUAAUGGCCUACCAAGGCAACGAUGCAUAGCCGACCUGAGAGGGUGAUCGGCCACACUGGGACUGAGACACGGCCCAG
rnacentral:rRNA from 2 species